GCUAUGGUGUCCGAGUGGUCUAAGGAGGCUGACUUAAGCUCAGCUGGCGAAAGCCUCGCGGGUUCGAACCCCGUCCAUAGCA
rfam:Emiliania huxleyi CCMP1516 EMIHTscaffold_17_Cont926, whole genome shotgun sequence.